AUUGAGUACAGGACUGGAGAGUGGCUUCUCUCCCUGCUUCUUCUGUAAAUGUAUGUGGGACUCAAGCUUUGGAAUCUUAAAUGUCCACGAGAACUCAAAGGGUGCCUGAUGAUUGAUUUGCACUACAGGACAGGGCUGACAUGAGAAUUUCAGUUGAGUUCAGCAGGAUUGCAAUCAGAGUCCUUGGCAAAAGUCACAUCGCAUCAGGUUGACCAUCAUGCAGCUAGGACCACCUGCUGCAGUUCUUUAUGACUCACUCCUAGGUGGAUUCUUCUUAACAAGCAAGUGGUGCAGUAUCACACCGAGAAGAUAUGCGGACUGAGCACAGCUUUUUGAUAACCUUUCAUCCAUCGAGAUUUUUCUUUCGAAAAGAGUGAGUUAUAAAACAGAUUUUAUUAUUUACCCAGGGUUAAAUUUUUUUAAUAAAAAUGUAUAAUUCUGAUAUAUCCUGUAGCA
rnacentral:lncRNA from 1 species